UGGGGAAUUUUGGACAAUGGGCGAAAGCCUGAUCCAGCAAUGCCGCGUGUGUGAAGAAGGCCUUCGGGUUGUAAAGCACUUUUGUCCGGAAAGAAAUCCUUGGCUCUAAUACAGUCGGGGGAUGACGGUACCGGAAGAAUAAGCACCGGCUAACUACGUGCCAGCAGCCGCGGUAAUACGUGUAGGGUAGCAAGCUGAUUAAUCGGAAUUACUGGGCGUAAAGCGUGCGCAGGCGGUUUGCUAAGACCGAUGUGAAAUCCCCGGGCUCAACCUGGGAACUGCAUUGGUGACUGGCAGGCUAGAGUAUGGCAGAGGGGGGUAGAAUUCCACGUGUAGCAGUGAAAUGCGUAGAGAUGUGGAGGAAUACCGAUGGCGAAGGCAGCCCCCUGGGCCAAUACUGACGCUCAUGCACGAAAGCGUGGGGAGCAAACAGGAUUAGAUACCCUGGUAGUCCACGCCCUAAACGAUGUCAACUAGUUGUUGGGGAUUCAUUUCCUUAGUAACGUAGCUAACGCGUGAAGUUGACCGCCUGGGGAGUACGGUCGCAAGAUUAAAACUUCAAAUGAAUUGACGGGGUCAUAGCUGUUUCCU
rnacentral:rRNA from 1 species